rnacentral:rRNA from 1 species
CUCUAUGGCCAUACCACCCUGAAAGAGCCCCAUCUCGUCUGAUCUCGGGAGCUAAGCAGGGUUGGGCCUGGUUAGUACUUGGAUGGGAGUCCAUAGAACAGCUGGCACAGUAGACU